rnacentral:rRNA from 1 species
AGCCUAAAAACUAGCUCAACCAUUAAAAACAACAAACAGACACUAAUAACCCAUAAAAACCUAAAAACCACAAUCAAAUCAUUUUUCCCCCCGAGUACAGGAGAUGGAAAGGGGACACAGAGAAGCUACAGAUAAAGUACCGCGAGGGAACGAUGAAAGAGAAAUGAAACAACCCAUAAAAGCCCUAAAAAGCAGAGAUUCAAGCUCGUACCUUUUGCAUCAUGAUUUAGCUAGCAACGCCCAAGCAGAAAGAAUUAUAGUUUGGUUCCCCGAAACUAAGUGAGCUACUCCGAGGCAGCUUGUAUAAAAGAGCAAACCCGUCUCUGUUGCAAAAGAGUGGGAAGACCUUUGAGUAGUGGUGACAGACCUAUCGAACUUAGUUAUAGCUGGUUGCCUGGGAAACGGAUAUAAGUUCAGCCCUGCGGUUUCUCCACUCCAAAUUAACAUAAGCUAGGACAAAAAGAACCGCCGCAGAAGUUAAUCAAAGGAGGUACAGCUCCUUUGAAAAAGACACAACUUUACUAGGAGAGUAAAGAUCAUAAUUUUAAAAAGCAACGUACUAACGUGGGCCUAAGAGCAGCCACCUAGAGAGAAAGCGUUAAAGCUCGAGUACUAACUAGCCAAUUAUACUGAUAACCCAAUCUUACCCCCCUGCCCCCUACCAGGCCUUCUCAUUCAACCAUGUGAGUGAUUAUGCUAAUAUGAGUAACAAGAGUGAAGGAACUCUCCUACACACAAGUGUAAGUCGAAACGGACCACCCAUCGACCAUUAACAACCCCCACCAAAGAGGGCACUGGGUAACAAACCAAACAACAAGAGAACUACCCAACAACAAAUGUUAAUCCAACACCGGCGUGCUACCCAGGAAAGACUAAAAGGAAGGGAAGGAACUCGGCAAACAAAAGCCCCGCCUGUUUACCAAAAACAUCGCCUCUUGCAAAACCAAAGAAUAAGAGGUCCGACCUGCCCAGUGACUAUAUGUUUAACGGCCGCGGUAUUCUGACCGUGCGAAGGUAGCGUAAUCACUUGUCUUUUAAAUGAAGACCUGUAUGAAUGGCAAGACGAGGGCUUAACUGUCUCCCCUUUCUGGUCAAUGAAAUUGAUCCCCCCGUGCAGAAGCGGGGCUAGCCACAUUAGACGAGAAGACCCUAUGGAGCUUCAGACACUAAGGAAGCCCAGUCAAACGAACCUAAAUCAACAAGAUGACUAUACUGAAGACCUUCCAUAAUGUCUUGGGUUGGGGCGACCACGGGGUAAAAAACAACCCCCACGUGGGAUGGAAUUAAAGCACUUAUUCCUGAGCUAAGAGCUACCGCUCUAAGCAGCAGAACUUCUGACCAUAAAUGAUCCGGCAAAGCCGAUCAACGAACCAAGUUACCCUAGGGAUAACAGCGCAAUCCCCUUUAAGAGUCCAUAUCGACAAGGGGGUUUACGACCUCGAUGUUGGAUCAGGACAUCCUAAUGGUGCAGCCGCUAUUAAGGGUUCGUUUGUUCAACGAUUAAAGUCCUACGUGAUCUGAGUUCAGACCGGAGUAAUCCAGGUCGGUUUCUAUCUAUGAAAAUAUCUUCUUCUAGUACGAAAGGACCGAAGAAGAGGGGCCCAUAAUUUAGAUACGCCCCGCCCCCACCUGCUGGUGCCCAAUCAAGCAGCUAACGGGAACUAUCACCGCAAGUAGAGAGAAUACUAC